GCCUCUGUAGCUCAGUUGGUUAGAGCGCUGCUCCGGAAUCGCAGGGCCGUAGGUUUUUCUUACAGGAGGAC